CUUCGCUCAUGGCUUUGGUCUGCAUACACAUCUUGUACUUGUCUGGAGGGAGCUCAUCUGCGCAGUUCUUCUCGUGCCACAAGUGGAAAAGGCCGCGAGACGGAGAGCGAAUCACCAUCAGCUUACUGUGAAGACAACUCAGUACUCGAAAACAUCCGACCUCCUACUAGAAAAAGUACAGUGGAACGCCACUCAAAGUCAGAAUUCCUACUUGUGAACUCGGGGGAAAUCCAUCUACCUCGACUUGUGAAGAAGCAGUUACAACACCAUGGACGUGCACAUUGUAAAUGAACGCUUGGAGAUGGGAAGUUGGAAAUUUCAACUGGGAAAUUCCAACCUCCAACUGUAACUGGAAUGCAGCAUUAAAGGCCCUACACACCCAUGAUACACCCCUACAGGUUGAAGUGAAGCAAUCCUCUCUCACCAGGCUCUGCGUUGAGACGACAGGAAGUUAAGAAAUCAACGGUAAAGUGGAUGUCAACAUCGCAGAAGAAGAGCAGCACAUUCUGGCUCCGCCUCCAAGCCCUGGU